CUUGAUCGACCCCAAUAGCAGCGGUACGUCCCGGCCCUGCCCGUACGUGGCCAGCAGCGCCUGCGCCUC
rnacentral:antisense_RNA from 1 species